AUUGAACGCUAGCGGGAUGCUUUACACAUGCAAGUCGAACGAGUGGCGGACGGGUGAGUAAUAUAUCUGAACGUGCCCCGUAGCGGGGGAUAACUUCUCGAAAGAGUGGCUAAUCCCGCAUACUGUUGGUGCGGCCGAUAUCGGAUUAGCUAGUUGGUGGGGUAAAGGGUCACCAAGGCAACGAUCCGUAGCUGGUUUGAGAGGACGACCAGCCACACUGGGACGGAGACACGGCCCAGACGCCUACGGGAGGAAGCAGUGGGGAAUUGUGGACAAUGGGGGAAACCCUGAUACAGCGAUCCCGCGUGUAUGAGAAGGCCUUCGGGUUGUAAAGUACUUUUGGCAGAGAAGCGGUAUCUGCAGAAUAAGCACCGGCUAACUACGUGCCAGCAGCCGCGGUAAUAC
rnacentral:rRNA from 1 species